rnacentral:RNase_P_RNA from 1 species
CGAGCCGGCCGGGCAGUCGCGGUCGCAGACGUCGUACGACGGUCUAGCGACCGAGGAAGGUCCGGACUCCGCAGGGCAAGGUGGUGGGUAACACCCACCCGGGGUGACCCGCGGGACAGUGCCACAGAGACAGACCGCCAGCGGCUCCAGCGUCUGCUGGAGUGCGGGUAAGGGUGAAACGGUGGUGUAAGAGACCACCAGCGCCUCGGGUGACCGAGGCGGCUGGGUAAACCCCACCUGGAGCAAGACCAAGAAGGACCCGGGCUUCGGCUCGAGUCCGCGCAGGCGACGGGGCCAGAAAUGGACUCGAGAGGGCGGCCCGCCCGAGUCUGCGGGUAGGUCG